UAUUUAUGAGAACAGGGGUUGUCCAAUUUUUAAACUUGGAGCCCAACCUUCUCACUUUCUAACCCUGUGCAUCUGUAUCUAACGGUGAGCUGCCUUCGGGUGGCGAGCCUUCACUUUAAAACACCAAGUCUAUGAAUGUAUAUAAUCAUAACUAUAUAAAAACUUUCAACAACGGAUCUCUUGGCUCUCGCAUCGAUGAAGAACGCAACGAAAUGCGAUACGUAAUGUGAAUUGCAGAAUUCAGUGAAUCAUCGAAUCUUUGAACGCAUCUUGCACUCUCUGGUAUUCCGGAAAGUAUGUCUGUUGGAGUGUCAUGAAUUCUUCAACCCCACCGUUUCUUGCAAACGCGUGGGUGCUUGGAUUCUGAGCGCUGCUGGCUUCGGCCUAGCUCGUUCGUAAUGCAUUAUCAUCCCGAUGACAAAUUUGGAUUGACUUGGCGUAUGAGACUAUUCGCUGAGGAGUAAGUGGCCUUCGGGUUACUGAGCCAACUCGUUUCAGGAAGCUUCUAAUCCCUAAAGUCUACCUUUUACAUUAUAUCUCCAAUCACGCAUGAUUACCCGCUGAACGUUCCGUAUAUAUACGCGGAGAGAAAACAUUAGUGAAUAAACAGGGUGUCCAUUUAACUUGGAGCCCACCUUCUCACUUUCUAACCCUGUGCAUCUGUAUCUGACGGUGAGCUGCCUUCGGGUGGCGAGCCUUCACUUUAAACACCGAGUCUAUGAAUGUAUAUAUCAUAACUAUACUAAAACUUUCACACGGAUCUCUUGGCUCUCGCAUCGAUGAGACGCACGAUGCGAUACGUAUGUGAAUGCAGAAUCAGUGAAUCAUCGGAUCUUUGAACGCAUCUGCACUCUCUGGUAUUCGAAGUAUGUCAUGUUGAGUGUCAUGAAGUUCUUGCAGCCCACCGUUCUUGCGAACGCGUGGGGUGCCGUGAGAAUUCGAGACGCUGCUCGCGUCGCCUACACUGGUCGUAUUGCAUAGCAUCCGAAUACACGCUGAUGACUGGGCUAUAGAACAUUCCUAGGAAUGACUACGGCUACGGACAUCAUCGGAACGUCGAAUCCUAUCACGUUGAUAAAUCCAAUCGCAGUACCUUACUUAGCCUGCAAUACGCGAGA
rnacentral:rRNA from 1 species